rnacentral:lncRNA from 1 species
UUUUGACAAGCUCAAGUCUGAUUGAGUGAUUAAUGUUUUGCUUGGCACUUUGAGUUGUUUUUGUUCUUCAUCGUGAAGCUUUACUUAUAGGCUUCAAGAGAGCUUAUGACAACACAUUUAACCGUUGGAAGUAGGCCAACUGUCAUGAGUAAGUGAAUGGAUAAGAUCAGCCAUAUAGCAGGAUUGUUUAUACUGAAGCGAGG